rnacentral:rRNA from 1 species
CAGCACCUCAAGUGGUCAGGAUGAUUAUUGGGCCUAAAGCAUCCGUAGCCUGCUUUGUCAGUUUUCGGGUAAAUCCAUACGCUCAACGUAUGGGCUGCCGGGAAUACUACAAAGCUAGGGAGUGGGAGAGGUAGACGGUACUCGGUAGGAAGGGGUAAAAUCCUUUGAUCUAUUGAUGACCACCUGUGGCGAAGGCGGUCUACCAGAACACGUCCGACGGUGAGGGAUGAAAGCUGGGGGAGCAAACCGGAUUAGAUACCCGAGUAGUCC